rnacentral:rRNA from 1 species
AUUGAACGCUGGCGGCAUGCCUUACACAUGCAAGUCGAACGGCAGCACGGGUGCUUGCCCCUGGUGGCGAGUGGCGAACGGGUGAGUAAUACAUCGGAACAUGUCCUGUAGUGGGGGAUAGCCCGGCGAAAGCCGGAUUAAUACCGCAUACGAUCUACGGCUGAAAGCGGGGGCCCUUCGGGCCUCGCGCUAUCGGGUUGGCCGAUGGCUGAUUAGCUAGUUGGUGGGGUAAAGGCCUACCAAGGCGACGAUCAGUAGCUGGUCUGAGAGGACGACCAGCCACACUGGGACUGAGACACGGCCCAGACUCCUACAGGAGGCAGCAGUGGGGAAUUUUGGACAAUGGGCGAAAGCCUGAUCCAGCAAUGCCGCGUGUGUGAAGAAGGCCUUCGGGUUGUAAAGCACUUUUGUCCGGAAAGAAAUCCUUGGCUCUAAUACAGUCGGGGGAUGACGGUACCGGAAGAAUAAGCACCGGCUAACUACGUG